GAUGAACGCUGGCGGCGUGACUAAUACAUGCAAGUCGAGCGGACGGACGAGAAGCUUGCUUCUCUGAUGUUAGCGGCGGACGGGUGAGUAACACGUGGAUAACCUACCUAUAAGACUGGGAUAACUUCGGGAAACCGGAGCUAAUACCGGAUAAUAUUUUGAACCGCAUGGUUCAAAAGUGAAAGACGGUCUUGCUGUCACUUAUAGAUGGAUCCGCGCUGCAUUAGCUAGUUGGUAAGGUAACGGCUUACCAAGGCAACGAUGCAUAGCCGACCUGAGAGGGUGAUCGGCCACACUGGAACUGAGACACGGUCCAGACUCCUACGGGAGGCAGCAGUAGGGAAUCUUCCGCAAUGGGCGAAAGCCUGACGGGGCAACGCCGCGUGAGUGAUGAAGGUCUUCGGAUCGUAAAACUCUGUUAUUAGGGAAGAACAUAUGUGUAAGUAACUGUGCACAUCUUGACGGUACCUAAUCAGAAAGCCACGGCUAACUACGUG
rnacentral:rRNA from 1 species